rnacentral:rRNA from 1 species
UAAAGGCUCAACCAAGCCAACGAUCUGUAGCUGGUCUGAGAGGACGACCAGCCACACUGGAACUGAGACACGGUCCAGACUCCUACGGGAGGCAGCAGUGGGGAAUUUUGGACAAUGGACGCAAGUCUGAUCCAGCCAUUCCCGCGUGCAGGAUGAAGGCCUUCGGGUUGUAAACUGCUUUUGUACGGAACGAAACGGUGAGCUCUAAUACAGUUUGCUAAUGACGGUACCGUAAGAAUAAGCACCGGCUAACUACGUG